AAAGUCAUAACAAGGUUUCUGUAGGUGAACCUGCAGAAGGAUCAUUAUUGAAUUGUUUAAAAAUGGGGCAAGACGCUUUCGAGCUCUUCCUCUACAUUCUUUAUUCCUUAACACCUGUGAAUCGUUGCUGAGUCCGCUCAGUGGCACCUUUUUUACACACACACUUUAUAGUUUAGAACGUAAAAACAUAAAAUAAAAAUACAACUUUUGACAACGGAUCUCUUGGUUCUCC
rnacentral:misc_RNA from 1 species